AGUAAAUGCCGCAGUUCUUUUUGUCGUGUAAUUAUCACUUAGCUUUCUGCUUUCACUGACAAAAGCAACGAAAAUACGAGUUUGUUUAGAAUAAUGGGAACAGCGACGUCAAAAAACGAUGAAUCAGUAAUUGAAAACGUAAAAAAUGAUGAAAGUGAUGCACCGACAGAAGAAGACCGAAAUGCAUAUAAAGGUGAUAACAACGUUGGUGAUAACCAAGAUAGCAAAGAUCCAGUAAUUGAAGAAGAAAUCAUACCCACAGAAGGAAUUCAAGUGCGAAGUUUCAUAGGAGCUCCUAUUGUAUGUCCACCAGGUUACAAAAUGGAUGCUAAGGGAAGGUGCCGCAAAGUCCAGUGAAUUUUUAUGAUGAAUGUGGUUCAGUGUAGUUCUAUUUUCAUUGAAUAAAUUAUUGUCGUGCUAG